CAUGUCACAUCCGGCAAAACGUAAAGUUUUAUUUAUUUGUGAAUAGUUUGGUGCAGAGUUUGUUAUUGUUAUGGGCCUCAUGUUUGGAUGAAGAAACAGCCUAAUAAAGAUCAAACCUAAUCUUAAUCACUUAAAUGGUUCCUGUUAUGGGUUCUUCAUGUUGAAUCCCUUAUUAAUUCAAUCAACCAAUGUAGACUUUUAUGCGAGAUUUUCUUCAGCUAGGCGGUGUAUCAGCGAGUAUACAAAGGAACCUUGAUAGUCUAUGUUUUCCUUCUUCGCCUUCACAGUCAUACAUCGCAGCUCCUUUUACCGAUUGAGAAACUCGAGUUGCUGUUAUAGCUGAGAAGUUGGGGUUUCUUCAGUUGGUUCAAAGUAUAUGGCUGCUUCAAUCUCAACAAGACUAAUCAUUCUGAAUCUCGAUAUUUUAGAAGUGAUCAUAAUACACCAGACAUAAGAAACUGCAACCGUGAGAUGUCCAGGGGAAGUAGAGAAGCCAAUCUGAACAUCUUUUCCAACAACUGGUGUUCGUGAUGUGGAGACAUCACAUGUCACAUGAUACCUUACUGCUUCAGCCUUCUCUAAUUUCUGCUAGGAAACGUUUUAGAAACACUGGCACCAAGAACAAGUGACUGGUCGUUGAUAGCGUAGAUGUUUAAGAACCGAGACAAACUUGGGAGGAAGCACAUAAACUGCUGCAG